CCUACGGGAGGCAGCAGUGGGGAAUAUUGCACAAUGGGGGAAACCCUGAUGCAGCGACGCCGCGUGAGUGAAGAAGGAUCUCGGUACGUAAAGCUCUAUCAGCAGGGAAGAAAAUGACGGUACCUGACCAAGAAGCCCUGGCUAACUCCGGGCCAGGAGCCGCGGUAACACGUAGGGGGAACGCGCUAUGCGGAUUUACUGGGUGUAAAGGGAGCGUAGACGGCAGGACAAGUCAGGCGUGAAAUCCGGGGGCUUAACCCCGGAACUGCCUUUGAAACUGUGCGGCUGGAGUGCAGGAGAGGUUAGCGGAAUUCCUGGUGUAGCGGUGAAAUGCGUAGAUAUUAGGAGGAACACCGGUGGCGAAGGCGGCUUACUGGACUGUAACUGACGUUGAGGCUCGAAAGCGUGGGGAGCAAACAGGAUUAGAUACCCGUGUAGUC
rnacentral:rRNA from 1 species